AAGCAGUAUGAGAUUGCUGUGAAAGGUUUGUUCGGUAAGCGCAUUUCAGUCACCUUACGCCUUAAGUCAGGGGUGAUUAUAUUGAUCACAUUUUGCACUUGUUCGGUUACCUAUGAACAUGCCCGGAAAAAGCUAAAUGACAGUCAGUUUCAUUCAGACCUGGCCAGUGAAACUGAAAUGCCCCCAUUGAAGAGGCGUAGACGGCUACCAGCAGUCUGGAGCGACUCUGACAGUGAAGAGGAAGAGGAAGACUCUGCCACAAGCCAGCCAGGACUGCCACCCAUCCCAAAUAAUUUUCCAUGUAGAAUAACCUCGAGUGAAGCAACACGUCUGCCCACAUUUGGCCAGGGAGACAAAGGCACAGCAGGGACCCAGCUGUCACAGACAAACUCGCGACAAGGUACGUCUGAUAACCACUCUGUUGAUGCAGGUAUGUGCCAGAUAAGGGAGGUCAAAAUUAAAUAUAUCAUUAGCAAGUUACUCCAAACUACUAAUGAAUUGAAAUUGUGCUUUUCAGGUAAACAGACAGUGCAGAAUGGCCACAAAACUCACCUCAUGAUUGUUGUAUAGAGAAGAGUACGCACCUUUUGAAAGAUAUGAAUGCAGUUUUCAGUAAAAUGGUUUGCUUAAAAUGUUCUUGAACCCUAAAUUUUAAUAGCGUUUAUUUACGAUAUUUUUCAGACUUAGAGCAGCAUGUACUACGACUGCUGAACACGCUUCGCUUCAUGCUGGAACAACAAGCGGACACCUUGAACAAGUUGUGCGAUAUACUUCCUACUUCUUCAGUCACCGAAUGCGCAGAGCUCUUAGGCCAUCCGCUAAGCAGCCUUGAAGAACUACAAGACUUUGACGACAAGCUCGAUGCUGGAAAAUU